rnacentral:rRNA from 1 species
GAUGAACGCUAGCGGGAGGCCUAACACAUGCAAGCCGAGGGGCAGCACGGACUUCGGUUUGGUGGCGACCGGCGCACGGGUGCGUAACGCGUAUGCAACCUACCUCUAACAGCGGGAUAGCCCGAAGAAAUUCGGAUUAAUACCACAUAGUAUUAUAUAGUUGCAUGAUUAUAUGAUUAAAGAUUUAUCGGUUAGAGAUGGGCAUGCGUGACAUUAGCUAGAUGGUGAGGUAACGGCUCACCAUUGCUACGAUGUCUAGGGGUUCUGAGAGGAUGAUCCCCCACACUGGUACUGAGACACGGACCAGACUCCUACGGGAGGCAGCAGUGAGGAAUAUUGGUCAAUGGGCGCAAGCCUGAACCAGCCAUCCCGCGUGAAGGAAGAAGGUUCUAUGGAUUGUAAACUUCUUUUAUAUGCCAAGAAAAGCUAGUACGAGUUACUAGUCUGACAGUAGCAUAUGAAUAAGCAUCGGCUAACUCCGUGCCAGCAGCCGCGGUAAU